rnacentral:tRNA from 1 species
GGGGCCGUAGCACAGCGGUCGAUGCGCCGGUCUCCAGAACCGGAGGACGUCGGUUCGAAUCCGACCGACCCCG